rnacentral:lncRNA from 1 species
UUCUGUGGAUCCUUUACUGUGUGUUUCAGCUGAGUUUCUUAGCACAUUCUUAACAAACCUGAAAGCAGAUGUCUGUGUUUAUAAAGAAAGAUGAACUAGACACAGAAAAUGUCUUAACAAGAAACGGUAACAUAUCAAGUUGAGGAAGGGACGUGCUCUCUUCUGUUUUUAUAAAAUGAGGUUAGGUCAGCCGUAGCCCUGUGUCUGGUUUUCUGGGGUGCCCCUGGCACUGUCGCUGGGGCUUCCUAAUUCCUGGAUCCUGUUCCUGUUGUGUACAGACAUGCAUUUCUGUGUGGUUUGGAAGGAAAAACGGUUAUUCAAAGACACAUUGGCACCAACUCUCAGGUUCAACUACCUGCAUUUUCCUUCUUUGUCCCCCUCUCCAUGAUGAUGGCUAGAGGGUCCUGAGCUGGGUAACAAUGGAUGGGCAGAAGUGGAAAGAAAGGCCAGGGGAGCUAAGUGGUCAUACCACCUGAAGCUUCUGUCUGUAUAAACUCUUCCCACUGCUGGGGCUGAUGGUCAUACCUGACAUCAGUCCUCUCCUCAAGGAAUCUCAGAAAAUCUCUGGGCUGUCUGGGAGAGAUAUAUUUUUGACCCCAUCUACUACCAAGUUCCUUUCUUUUUUCUUUUUGUCCCCUUUGUUCCUUUAUUAACGGUUCUUCCUGUAGUGUGUACUCAGGUUCUACUGGGGAAUCACAGAAAGGCAGCAGUGCUAGGAUCUGUUGGGAUUGCACCCUGAGGGCUGUGGCUCUGGCUUCUCUGUCAGCUUUUCUGUUCCCUUGUGCUAUAGUGGUUGAGUCCCUUUGAUGCCCCACAAUGAAUUAUAGCAUGGCCUUUGGCAAGUUUAUUGCUUCCAAUAGCUGACAAGCCCAUGCUUUAUAGGGGACUGUUUGCUAGUUAGUAAUCCCCUUUCUUUCCAGAUUGUAGUGUGAGCAUGAACUAGAAGAAAUGCUUAUUCAGAAUCUAUAUAGAUGUUAAGCUUUUUUCCUUGUCUCAACAUUAAGGCUCAAGUAAGAGCAAUGAUUUCAGCCUUUUGUGCUGAUGUGCCAAGGAGCAGUGGCUGGGCUUCGAUGAUUGUGUUAUGAUUUACUGCUGCAUAUCCAGCUCAGUGCUGUGUCAAACCCCACUUGACACAACACUACUGCCAUCUGUGAAGCACUCAUCCUCAGAAUCUGGGGGAGGCUGGUCUUUAAUGUAGGCCGGCUAACAUUAUGUAUGUGCAACGACCUGCCGGCAGAAAUGAUCAGUUAUUGGGCCUGUGGGCAGCAACGAGGCUGGAUUCAAAGUGUUGCAGGUUUUAGGGGUUACAUCUGGAUUGUCUGGGAGCAUGGCCUGGUAUUUGGCUAAUCUUUCCCCUGUCAUCCAGAUAUAUCCCUUUAUCUCUAAGAAUGACUUAACCUGGCGAGGGGGUUAGAACUUCCGGUGGUUGGCUCAGGGCGAUUUUAGUGGCUUCCUCCACUAACAUAGCAGGGGCUGCUAUUGCCCAUAGGCAACUUGGCCACCCCGAGGCCACUCCAUCCAACUUCUUUGAAAAGUAGGUGUUGGCCUAGGUUCUGAUCCUAAUUUCUGUGGAAUACACCCAUAGCUAUUCCCUUCUUCUCUGCUACAUACAAAGAGA